UCGAAAGCGUGGGGAGCGAACAGGAUUAGAUACCCUGGUAGUCCACGCCGUAAACGAUGAGUGCUAAGUGUUGGAGGGUUUCCGCCCUUCAGUGCUGCAGCAAACGCAUUAAGCACUCCGCCUGGGGAGUACGACCGCAAGGUUGAAACUCAAAGGAAUUGACGGGGGCCCGCACAAGCGGUGGAGCAUGUGGUUUAAUUCGAAGCAACGCGAAGAACCUUACCAGGUCUUGACAUCCUUUGACCACUCUAGAGAUAGAGCUUCCCCUUCGGGGGCAAAGUGACAGGUGGUGCAUGGUUGUCGUCAGCUCGUGUCGUGAGAUGUUGGGUUAAGUCCCGCAACGAGCGCAACCCUUAUUGUUAGUUGCCAUCAUUUAGUUGGGCACUCUAGCGAGACUGCCGGUGACAAACCGGAGGAAGGUGGGGAUGACGUCAAAUCAUCAUGCCCCUUAUGACCUGGGCUACACACGUGCUACAAUGGGAAGUACAACGAGUUGCGAAGUCGCGAGGCUAAGCUAAUCUCUUAAAGCUUCUCUCAGUUCGGAUUGUAGGCUGCAACUCGCCUACAUGAAGCCGGAAUCGCUAGUAAUCGCGGAUCAGCACGCCGCGGUGAAUACGUUCCCGGGCCUUGUACACACCGCCCGUCACACCACGAGAGUUUGUAACACCCGAAGUCGGUGAGGUAACCUUUUUGGAGCCAGCCG
rnacentral:rRNA from 1 species